CGUAAUGAAUUCACAUGUGUCUAGCACCUUGCACUGUCUAUGGAGUUGGUGCUCAAUGAACAUCAGCUGUAAUGAUUUUCCACACGUACAGCGCUGCACACAGAGAAGUUAGUGACUGGCCCUGGUCACCCAGCUAAGAAGUGACAGAAGUUCUAUUCAACCCCAGGUGUACCUACUGAGAGAUCAGGUGCUCUUCCACCCUCAGCUUCCCACGGACAUUUACAAAGCUUCUUGCAAGUGCAAGAAUGUGGUGCUGGUGCUCUGGCAGCCAUCUUGAGACUAUGAGGUGCAACUUACCAUUGGGUAAAUCCUUGACAACGACAUCACCAAGCCACCAGACCAACACCCAGACCAGACCACCUACUCCAGACUUGUUAAAUUAGUCUGCAGGAAUUUUUCAAGAUGGCAGAUGAGAGGAUAUCGCUUUCCUGGCUGUUCUGUAGAGUGAAACCAAGAAAACAGGCAGUUUCUCAGAAAGCUCGAUUGAGGAAUGAUUGACAGAUGACAUAGAAGAUUACAACGUCUUUACAGGGACCAAGAAAGAAGCAUCGUGGGAAAUGGAAAUCCGUGUGCAGGUUGAAGUGAUGAACCUUAUAAACACAGAGCACAAGAAGGCAGACACAAGAAAACACACCGGGGACCACCAAGUUCAAAACCAAGCGAAGCACCAUCCUACCAGCUUUGGGGUACUUCUGGGGCCAGGCACAUGGAGACUUUUGGGGUGCUGUCCUCUGCAUCUCAUGGAGGUGGGUGCUGGCUGCAGGAGAGGGAUCACCUUGCAAUAAUGCAAUAAGCUGCUACAAUUUAUAUGCUUUCUUGUGGGUGUUGUACCUCAAUAAAAAAUUAAAAA